rnacentral:rRNA from 1 species
AUGAGCGCAACGGAGAAGAGCACGGAGGGGGAGGGGGAGGGGGAGGGGUCCCAGCGCGUGGAGGCGUUCCUCGACAUCCUCGGCCGCGUCCCGAUGGGGGAGGUGGAGGGGGCGCUGACCUCCUGCGGCGUCGGCCCGACGGCGGAGGCCGCGGAGCAGGUGCUCAAGUCCGAAACCUGCUACUCCCGCCCCAAAUCGGCCGUCCGCUUCUUCCGCUGGGCGAAGGCGUCCGUGCAGCUCACCCCCUUGGCCUGGAACCUCCUCGUCGACAUCCUCGGUAAGGCCGCCAUGUUCGAUCCCAUGUGGGACGCCGUCCUCUCCAUGAGCCAGGAGGGCGGCCUCCUCUCCGUCGCCACAUUCGCCUCCAUGUUCGCCUCCUACUGCGCGCGCGGCAACUUCAAGGAAGCCGCCAUGGCCUUCGACGUCAUGGAGCGCCACGGCGUGACGCCGGACGCCGUUGCCCUCAACUCCCUCCUCGCCGCCAUGUGCCGCCGGGAUGGCGGCGGGCAGGCCGCGUGGGAGCUUUUCGAACGCUACAAGACCACGGUCGCGCCCGACGCCGACACCUUCGCGAUACUGCUCGAGGCGUGGGAGAAGGAGGGGAACGUCCAGCGCGCCAAGAGCACCUUCGGCGAGAUGGUCGUCCGCGUCGGGUGGGACGCCAGCAACAUGCCUGCCUACGAUGCUUUCCUCUCCACGCUCGUGCGAGGGGACCAGUUCAACGAGGCACUCAAGUUCCUCCAGGUGAUGCGGACCAAGGGCUGCCUCCCGGGGCUCAAGUUCUUUGCCAACGCGAUCGACCUUGUCGUCCGCAAGGGAGACCAUGCCAAUGCUAUUGCUAUCUGGCAAAUUAUGGUCUCGGAUGCAGGACUGGUUCCCAAUCUCCCAAUGUACAACGCCGUAAUUGGCCUCUGCUCUAGUGUCGGUAACACCGACUACGCCUUCCAGAUGCUCGAUGAAAUGCCCUUAAAUGGGGUCUUUGCAGAUUCUGAUACAUAUAAUUCCAUACUUGAGGGGCUCAUCAAGCAGCGCAAGGCUCGUGAGACUGAAGGUUUCCUCGCGGAGAUGAGCAAGAACGAGCAGCUGCCCUCCGCCUCCAACUGUGCUGCUGCUAUCAGCUUAUUUUGUCAGGAGUUUAACCCAUCUGCCGCAGUUGACGUUUGGCACUGCAUCGUGGAGCACCAAAUUACUCCGGCUGAGGAAUCAGCCAAAGAGUUAAUAGCUGGGCUUCUCGACUUUAGCAGGUUCGCCGAGGUGAAGAAAUAUACCGAUCAGAUGCUUGACAUGGGAAUUGAGUUGCCCCAGUCCACCAUUGAAAAAAUGAAGCGAGCAUUUUACAAGGCUGAGAGGCACCACACAUAUGACCAACUUGCACGAAGGUUGAAGCGGCGGUAA